rnacentral:rRNA from 1 species
AGCGAACGCUGGCGGCAGGCUUAACACAUGCAAGUCGAGCGGGCGUAGCAAUACGUCAGCGGCAGACGGGUGAGUAACGCGUGGGAACGUACCUUUUGGUUCGGAACAACCCAGGGAAACUUGGGCUAAUACCGGAUAAGCCCUUACGGGGAAAGAUUUAUCGCCGAAAGAUCGGCCCGCGUCUGAUUAGCUAGUUGGUGAGGUAAUGGCUCACCAAGGCGACGAUCAGUAGCUGGUCUGAGAGGAUGAUCAGCCACAUUGGGACUGAGACACGGCCCAAACUCCUACGGGAGGCAGCAGUGGGGAAUAUUGGACAAUGGGCGCAAGCCUGAUCCAGCCAUGCCGCGUGAGUGAUGAAGGCCCUAGGGUUGUAAAGCUCUUUUGUGCGGGAAGAUAAUGACGGUACCGCAAGAAUAAGCCCCGGCUAACUUCGUGCCAGCCGCCGCUGUAAGAC